rnacentral:rRNA from 1 species
GACGAACGCUGGCGGCGUGCCUAAUACAUGCAAGUAGAACGCUGAAGGAGGAGCUUGCUUCUCUGGAUGAGUUGCGAACGGGUGAGUAACGCGUAGGUAACCUGCCUGGUAGCGGGGGAUAACUAUUGGAAACGAUAGCUAAUACCGCAUAAUAGUAGAUGUUGCAUGACAUUUGCUUAAAAGGUGCAAUUGCAUCACUACCAGAUGGACCUGCGUUGUAUUAGCUAGUUGGUGGGGUAACGGCUCACCAAGGCGACGAUACAUAGCCGACCUGAGAGGGGGAUCGGCCACACUGGGACUGAGACACGGCCCAGACUCCUACGGGAGGCAGCAGUAGGGAAUCUUCGGCAAUGGGCGGAAGUCUGACCGAGCAACGCCGCGUGAGUGAAGAAGGUUUUCGGAUCGUAAAGCUCUGUUGUAAGGGAAGAACGAGUGUGAGAGUGGAAAGUUCACACUGUGACGGUAUCUUACCAGAAAGGGACGGCUAACUACGUG